GCAGUCGAGGGGUAUAUUUCUUCGGAGAUAGAGACCGGCGCACGGGUGCGUAACGCGUAUGCAAUCUACCUUUUACAGAGGGAUAGCCCAGAGAAAUUUGGAUUAAUACCUCAUAGUAUAUCACAAUCGCAUGAUUGAGUUAUUAAAGUCACAACGGUAAAAGAUGAGCAUGCGUCCCAUUAGCUAGUUGGUAAGGUAACGGCUUACCAAGGCUACGAUGGGUAGGGGUCCUGAGAGGGAGAUCCCCCACACUGGUACUGAGACACGGACCAGACUCCUACGGGAGGCAGCAGUGAGGAAUAUUGGACAAUGGGCGCAAGCCUGAUCCAGCCAUGCCGCGUGCAGGAUGACGGUCCUAUGGAUUGUAAACUGCUUUUAUACGAGAAGAAACACUGCUUCGUGAAGCAGCUUGACGGUAUCGUAAGAAUAAGGAUCGGCUAACUCCGUGCCAGCAGCCGCGGUAAUACGGAGGAUCCAAGCGUUAUCCGGAAUCAUUGGGUUUAAAGGGUCCGUAGGCGGUUUGGUAAGUCAGUGGUGAAAGCCCAUCGCUCAACGGUGGAACGGCCAUUGAUACUGCCAGACUUGAAUUAUUAGGAAGUAACUAGAAUAUGUAGUGUAGCGGUGAAAUGCUUAGAGAUUACAUGGAAUACCAAUUGCGAAGGCAGGUUACUACUAAUUGAUUGACGCUGAUGGACGAAAGCGUGGGUAGCGAACAGGAUUAGAUACCCUGGUAGUCCACGCCGUAAACGAUGGAUACUAGCUGUUGGGAGCAAUCUCAGUGGCUAAGCGAAAGUGAUAAGUAUCCC
rnacentral:rRNA from 1 species